rnacentral:misc_RNA from 1 species
CGCACCUUGCACCCCUUGGUAUUCCGAGGGGUACGCCUGUUUGAGUGUCGUGAACUCCUCCAACUCCGGUUUUCCAGAGUAUGGGAUUUGGGUGUUGCUGGUCCCUGGUAGACCGGCUCGCCUUAAAUGCAUUAGCAAAGCCCUUGCGGCCUUGGCAGUGAUAAUUAUCCGCGCCUCGGCUUAGCGACUUUGAAGGGGAAUUGCUUACAACCGUCCUUUGGGACAAUCACUACGACUUGACCUCAGAUCAGGUGGGACUACCCGCUGAACUUAA